CGGGGCGUGGCUCAGCUUGGCUAGAGCGCUUGCUUUGGGAGCAAGACGUCGGAGGUUCGAAUCCUCUCGCCCCGA
rnacentral:tRNA from 1 species